AUUGAACGCUGGCGGCAGGCCUAACACAUGCAAGUCGAGCGGAUGAAGGGAGCUUGCUCCUGGAUUCAGCGGCGGACGGGUGAGUAAUGCCUAGGAAUCUGCCUGGUAGUGGGGGAUAACGUCCGGAAACGGGCGCUAAUACCGCAUACGUCCUGAGGGAGAAAGUGGGGGAUCUUCGGACCUCACGCUAUCAGAUGAGCCCAGGUCGGAUUAGCUAGUUGGUGGGGUAAAGGCCUACCAAGGCGACGAUCCGUAACUGGUCUGAGAGGAUGAUCGGUCACACUGGAACUGAGACACGGUCCAGACUCCUACGGGAGGCAGCAGUGGGGAAUAUUGGACAAUGGGCGAAAGCCUGAUCCAGCCAUGCCGCGUGUGUGAAGAAGGUCUUCGGAUUGUAAAGCACUUUAAGUUGGGAGGAAGGGCAGUAAGUUAAUACCUUGCUGUUUUGACGUUACCAACAGAAUAAGCACCGGCUAACUUCGUG
rnacentral:rRNA from 1 species